rnacentral:lncRNA from 1 species
UCUUUCUUUCUUUUUUCUAGCAGGCAGAUAGAAGUUCCUGUCACUUUCUCCUUUUUUAUGGAGUGGGAUGUGAUACUCCUUCUAGUGGAAAUACCAGUCAAAUGUCCAUGGGUCUUGAAGUGUCACUACAUACUCCUGAGCCUCUCUCCAGAAGGAAAAAGGGAACUCCUCUAUGGAUAGUGCAGCAGGAUGCAGCGGAACCCCCCGACUUGCCGACAAGCGCAGACCAGUCUAGAAGUGGCCCUGUACAUGUUUCUGCAGAACCCUGACACUGAAGCUGUUCUGGUUGCCAUGUCCUGUUUCUGCCACCUCUGUGAGGAAGCAGAUACCCAGUGUGGGGUGGAUGAAGUGUCAGUGCAUAACCUCUUGCCCAACUCUAACACAUUCAUGGAGUUUGCCUGUCAGCAAUGUGAUGUCAACAGGCUUGGGAAGAUACACAUGCAAAAUGGGAACAAGCAACAAAACUAAUCCUUAGCUAUCCAAAAGCCCAAGUGGAAGAUGGCCAGGUAAGUUUGUAAAGUUGCCUUUUGUCUAUUAACUGAUCUGCUAAAUAUAUGUACUUCACUUUGGUAAUCUUUCACAAGUCACUCAGUAAAGUAAGCAUAUAGUUGUCUGAAGACUGUUAUUUAGUUGUGGUUUAUCUAGACCUGUACUUUGUAAUAUGAUAGCCACUAGCUACGUGU